AGAGUUGAUCAUGGCUCAGGACGAACGCUGGCGGCGUGCCUAACACAUGCAAGUCGAGCGGGGACAUUGCGACGGAGACGAAGUACUCGUACGGAGUCAAAGACGUAAUGUCUAGCGGCGGACGGGUGAGUAACGCGUGAGCAACCUGUCCCUUACAGGGGGAUAACACAGCGAAAGUUGUACUAAUACCGCAUAAGACCACAGGAUGACAUCGUCCAGGGGUCAAAGGAGCAAUCCGGUAAGGGGUGGGCUCGCGUCCGAUUAGAUAGUUGGUGAGGUAACGGCCCACCAAGUCGACGAUCGGUAGCCGACCUGAGAGGGUGAUCGGCCACAUUGGGACUGAGACACGGCCCAAACUCCUACGGGAGGCAGCAGUGGGGAAUAUUGGGCAAUGGGGAAACCCUGACCCAGCAACGCCGCGUGAGGGAAGAAGGUUUUCGGAUCGUAAACCUCUGUCCCAGGUGAAGAGGAAGAGACGGUAGCCUGGGAGGAAGCCCCGGCUAACUACGUGCCAGCAGCUGC
rnacentral:rRNA from 1 species